rnacentral:rRNA from 1 species
CUAAGAAUCUUCCGCAAUGGGCGAAAGCCUGACGGAGCGACGCCGCGUGGGCGAAGAAGGCCGAAAGGUUGUAAAGCUCUUUUCUUGGUGAAGAAUAGGGGCAGGAGGAAAUGCCUGUCUGAUGACGUUAGCCGAGGAAUAAGCCCCGGCCAAUUACGUGCCAGCAGCCGCGGUAACACGUAAGGGGCGAGCGUUGUUCGGAAUCAUUGGGCGUAAAGGGCGUGUAGGCGGUUUGGUAAGCCUGGUGUGAAAGACCACAGCCUAACUGUGGGAUCGCGCUGGGAACUGCUGGACUUGAGUUCAGAAGGGGGAGGUAGAAUUCCUGGUGUAGGGGUGAAAUCUGUAGAUAUCAGGAAGAAUACCGGUGGCGAAGGCGACCUCCUGGUCUUGGACUGACGCUGAGGCGCGAAAGCGUGGGGAGCGAACA